AACUGAUACUACCUGCGGGAACCUGCGGAAGGAUCAUUACAGAGUUGCAAAACUCCAAACCAUUGUGAACUUACCUUUGCCGUUGCUUCGGCGGGCGGCCCGGGUCCCGACCCGGCGCCCCCCGGCCCCGUCAGGGGCGCCCGCCGGAGGUAAACCAAACUCUUGAAUUGUAUGGCCUCUCUGAGUCUUCUGUACUGAAUAAGUCAAAACUUUUAGCAACGGAUCUCUAGAUCGGAAGAG
rnacentral:misc_RNA from 1 species